UCUUAGGCUAUAUAUAUGAGCCUUUUGCUUUGAUUUGAAUUACACCAAAAAUCUUGUUUAAUGAACAAAUUUAUAACAUAAACAAUUUAUUCUUCCUUUGAAGAUAAUUGUUAUUGCUAUAAAAUUUUCUUAAAUACUCUUUAGAGUAAUUACGUUAUAGAGUUCAGGCAUAUUUAGUUCGCCAAAAGUAAAAGGUGGUGCGCCUUAGUUUAUUCUGAUGUAUCUUGGGAGACAGACGCUGUUGGAAUUCUCUAGCACCAACGGGAAAAGGCGAAUCUGUUUUAAGGAAACUGUGUGCUACACAGGCCUCAGAUAUUCUCCAAUAGGAAUUGCGUUCGCGGCUGCAAAGAUGUCAUCACAAUAACAGCUGAUGUUUCCAAAGUUGAAGAUUGUCAAAGAUUUGUUGAUAAAACAAUCAAGUAUCAACUACUAUGGAGGAUGUAAGUGUUCAAAAGAAAAAACAAAUAAACUUAGGUAGCGUUUGGUAACACUUUUUUAAUCAGUUUUCUGUUUUUAAAAAUUGAAAAGUAAAUCAAAAUCAUGUUUAAUAAAAUUGUUUUUACUUUUUAAUUUUUUAAUUGAGAAUCAAAAUUUAAAAAAAAAAAAAAUCACUUUCAAUAUGUUUUCUAAACAGAUUUUUUUUAAUCAAUAUUUUAGACUUUGAUCAGAAUCGGAUCCAAAUCCCCCACACCCCCACGACCCUAGCACUGAAUUCAGCCUCUGAUCUGAACCCAAAUUCAAUUUCGGACCUAGACCAAACUUAAAUAAAAUUAUGAAAUAAAAAUUUAUUUUUUGUUUUUAAAAUUAAAAAACAAAAGUGGUUAACGCAAUUUUGUUUUCAAAAAUAAAAAUUUUACUUUCAUUGGGUAAAUACCAUUUUGGACCCUGUGUUUUGCAAAAGUUACAGAUUGGACCCUAUAUUUUGUUAAAGGACAAAAUAGACCCUGUAUUUUCUAAAAUAGUAAAAAUAGGACCCUAAGCUUAAUUUUUAACAAUUUUUUUUUUAAUACAACUAACUUGAAGACAAUGCUUAAUACGAACAGAUACAAAAAAAAUGUAAACAGUUUUGUCAUAACACUUUUAGAUCGGAUUAUAAUUAAACUUUAUUUUGACAAAAAAUCAAUUCAGGGUCCUAUUUGUACUAUUUUAGAAAAUACAGGGUCUAUUUUGUCAUUUAACAAAACACAGGGUCCAAUUGGUAAUUUUUGUAAAACAGAGAGUCCAAAAUGGUAUUUACCCACUUUCAUUUUCUAAUUAAAAAAUUAGAAAACAAAACUGUUACCAAACGACAUUUUUUUAACUAAUUUCUAUAGUGUUGAAAAUUUGGUGAACAAUGCUGGAGUAGCUCCUGUCUGCAUGUUUGGAGAAACACCUGACCUAAGUUUGUUUCUGUUAUGGUAAUUCAUUUUCUAAAAAGAAUUCAAAUGUAAAUGUAGUACUCUCUCUGUCUACAAAUAUAAUUUUUUUUGUUUUUGUUUUGAUUAGGAUAUAAACUGGGUUCAGUGUAUGCAACACAUUUUGCAAUUCCAUACCUUAAAAAGACCAAAGGAAAGAUCAUAGUGAUUUCCUCUGCUGCCACAUGGUUACCAGUGCCAAGACUUGGCCUCUAUAGUGCUACCAAAGCAGCAGUGACAAGCUUUUAUGAGACAUUAAGAGUGGAAAUAGAGAAAGAGGUUGGCAUAACAAUUGUGUCUCCAGGCUUGACUGAAUCAAAAAUGACUCGAGGAAAAUUCUUAACCCCAAGAGGCACUUUAGAACUAGAUCAAGAAAUGAGAGAUGUUGAGAUGAGCAUGACACCAAUGAUGCCAGCCAAAGAGACUGCAAAAGCAAUUGUGAACAAAGCAUGUGAGGGAGCUUACUAUUUGACAGUACCAACUUGGAUAAGGUCUUUGUAUUAUUCGCAUGCCUUUAUUCCUGAGGUGUUGGAAUGGUCCAACCAGUUGCUGAUAAUGCCUAGACCAGGCUCCACAGAUAGAGAUACUAUUAGUAAGAAAAUAGUGGAAGUAUUAUAUGUAUUCAGGCCAUGUCUGCAGCCUGGGAUAGUUGAGUAUCUUGAUAUUGGUGAUAAUGGCCACAUGUCUUAUUCACAUUACUAAAUAUUUAACUCGUUUUCUUGUGUCAAAUACUCUAUUUUUGUAAAACUUUUGAUAAUAGAAAAUGUAAUAUGUAUAAUACAGUAAGCUAGCUUUAUACAAGACUUGCCUCACUAAA